UUAAACGGAUGUGAUUAUAUACAGUUAUCUAUAACAGCGCUUUGGUCCGCGAUACUUAAUGCUAGAAACAAGCUGUAAAAUAGGAAUACCCGGUAAAGACGUGACUGCAUAUUGGGAUUGUUGUUUAAUUUGGAAAUAAUCUAAUUCUGUCACUAUCAAUUGAUUAAGCUAUUCACGUUCUGAACAAUAAAAUCAAUUUAAACAAAGACAGCUUUUUGGAAAACACUUUUGACCUCUCGUUGGGUUAAGCCAAGGAAGAAGAUUAGCCAGCAGUUAAAGCUUACAUUUUUCUGCGUCAGUAGGCCUACUCGGUCUGGGGUGGAAAGGUGCGAGGGCCAUCCUGUGCCACCAGUCAAUUGAUGGUGGAUGACCUUCUGAACCCGUGCUCGCCAGGUGACCCGGCUGCCAUAGAAUUGACCUGGAUGGAUGUGCCUAGCGACAAGCUGCUGUAGCCCAUCUGCAUGUCCGACAUGCUGCCCUCACUAUAUACCACGCAACCCACAGUCAACAUGGAGGUCUUGUUCAAGGUCAGGAAGUUCACAGAGGACUUAGAACAGGAGGGUUGAGAGCUCCUGGUUGGCAGCCUUUCGGUAACUGGCCCAAUGAUCUAACCUUGAGGCUACGUGCCGCCCCUUAGAAUGUAGGGUGACUCCCCUAGUGGGUCCUGAACCCAGGUCAGCAGCACUACAUUGCUGUGUGUCUGUAUUGUUGAGGGUAUAUUGGUUUAGUAAUACUCAUUCCAGUUCUGGUCCCAGAGGGGAUCUCAAUACUGUUACACGUAGCCAUGAUCACCAAGCUACCCUUACUUAAUUAAA